UGAUCAUCGAAGCGAAAGGAUUGUCGAGCCAUUUGGAAAAUAGCGACAGAUCAGUCUUCAAACGUCUUCAAGCUUAUUUUGGAACGAGAUUGCAGCGGCUUGACAGUGCCGAAAAAUCCAGCCUAAGUGUUCCGAUCCUGUCAUUUUUCUUUCCUUUACGUGGCAAACAACUCAGUAACCUGGCCGCACAAGUCCCAAUAGCGAGAAUGACAUGUCAAAGGCUCUCAGACAGCCGUUGCCCUGUUUAU